AUGCUCCGCCGCCGCCGUGCCCCUCUCCUCCUCGCGGCCGCGGCGGGCGCGGCCCUGGCGACCACGUCCGCCACCUCCCCUUCCGCCGACGGUCUCGGCGUCGCUUCCACGUUCCACGGCGUCGCCCGCUCCUCCCGCGCCAUUUACACGAUUGGCUUCGUGGUCGUGGACUACAAAUACUCGCUGCGGGGGCUGGUUCCUGGAUCGGCAGAUUACCGGGGUAAGCUCUCCGAGGUUCACUUGAGGUCAGCAAAAAAGCUGCUUAGACUAUGUGAAGCGAAUAGAGGCUUUUAUGUAAAAGCUGGUCAGUUUGUUUCAUCACUAAGACAAGUACCGAAGGAGUACAUAUCAACUCUAUCCUGCCUGCAGGAUCAGGCAACUCCAUGCAAAUAUCAAGAUAUCAAAAUAGUGAUUGAACAAAAUUUGGGCAGGGAUCUACAUGGCAUAUUCCUGGAAUUUGAUGAACAUCCGAUCGCUGCUGCAUCAAUUGCUCAGGUUCAUCGAGGUCGGUUGAAUAAUAAUCAGGAAGUAGCUGUAAAGGUUCAGUAUCCUGGGUUGGAGCGGCGAAUGAAGCUAGACAUAAUGACUAUGUCCCUCUUGUCAAAAUAUGUCUCUUUGAUCUUUCCUGAUUAUAGGUUUGAGAAAAUAUUACUUGAAUUUGAGAGAACCAUGUCAAUGGAACUGGAUUUUACCCAAGAGGCUAAGAAUUCCGAGAGAACUACAAGCUGCUUCAGGAAAAAUGAUGUUGUCAAAGUACCUCAUGUUUUUUGGGAACUGACAACCAAGGAGGUCUUGACAAUGGAAUUUUGUACUGGCCACAAGGUUGAUGACUUGGACUUCCUAAGGAAAGCCGAUAUCAGCCCUACAAAGGUAGCUAAAGCAUUAAUCGAACUGUUUGGUGAAAUGAUAUUUAUACAUGGUUUUGUUCAUGGUGAUCCUCAUCCUGGAAACAUAUUGGUUUCUCCUCGAGGCCAAGGGAGAUUUUCAUUAGUUUUGUUGGAUCAUGGUAUUUAUAAAGAAUUGGACCCAAAGUUUAGACUGGACUACUGUAAGCUGUGGAAAGCAUUGAUAUCGCUGGAUGUGCAAAAAAUUCUGGAGUUAGGUGAACAGUUUGGUGUCGGGAAAUAUGCGAAGUACUUUCCUUUAAUAUUCACUGGAAGGACUAUAGACAGCAAAUCAGCUCUUGGAACACAAAUAUCUGGUGAAGAGAAGACACGUAUAAAGCAGGACUUGAACUCUCUUGGAAUGGAUGAUAUAUCUUCAUUUAUGGAAUCCUUGCCGCCUGAUUUUCUUGUCAUACUUCGAACCGAUGGACUAUUGAGGUCCAUUUUAGGGAAUCUAGGGGCGCCACGUCAUGUUCGACUUCUUGCUUAUGCAAAGUGUGCCAUAUACGGCCAUGAGGAACAGUCCAGAUUGGAGUCCGGUGCAAUCAACCGUAUAACGUUGCAAAUCAAAACAAGCAUUAGCUAUCUCCAUCUGAGGAUACUCAUUGAAUUAGCGAGGUUGUUGGUGCAAUUUAAUGACUACAAGCAUAAGGCCAAGGACAAAUUGAGUUGGAUGCUCCAGAAGAUAAGUAGAGAGGUUUUGGGAUGGUACAAAGCUCUGAUGUGA
rnacentral:rRNA from 1 species